UGGUGGUAAAACGAUUUAAGCAUAUUUCGCCCUUCGCCCUACAGUCGCCAUCUAUCGCCAUUACAUUUAGUUCACUGAAAACAAUUGCAGUUUGCUUUGGUAGUAAACAGGUUUAACCAUGCGCUUAAACCAUUUUACCACAAAACUAUUUUUAGUAUAGGCCGUUCCAAGAUGCUGUCAAAAUUAAAUCAAUAUGGCUACUGGAAGGCAAACAUUGAAUAUUAUUCUAUCAGGUUCUUAUGGUUUUAGAUCAUUUUAGUUGUUGUACAAAGAUUAAUUUAACAUUUUCUCUGGAAGUAUUAAUUUAGAAAGAUAAUAUGCCUCAUUGGUGUUGUGUUUUGAAGUGUGAAAUGCAAAGUAAUCGUGAUAAAGUUAGCUUUUACCACUUACCAUCAGUGCUACAUUCUAAGCACAAAACUGAACCAAUUUAACUAAAUAAGUUAUAGUUAUCAUCUGAGAGACAACAACAAUGGUAAAAUGCAAUAAAAUAUAAAGAUUUUACUAGCAAAAUGGAAAUUCCCCUGUAAUCAUCUUAUAUCUGGUAAGUUACAACAUUUGAACAUUAACGAUUUUUGAAGAUGUUAACAGUCUAAUCUUGUAGGAAAACCAGCCGACUUAACUGAUAAUAACAAUCCAGAUUGGGUUCCUUCAAUAAAUAUGGGGUAUAUAAACACAAUGAAAUGAGUUCCCCAAAAUCUAAAAUGGGAAUUAAGGUACCAAAGGAGAAUUAAAAGAAAAGGGUACCUACAAGAAAAAAUUGCUUUUUUAUUCCUCUUGAAAUGAUUUAUAAGACACUGGACUGUCUUAUAUUCUACAAAUACUAGAAUCAGCUGAGAGAAGUGGUCUACAAAAACCCAGGAAGGAAACGGAAUAUGUGGCUACGAAAGGCAAAAGAAAGGUUUACAAAGCAAAUGUGACACAUUUUUUUGAAAUAUUUAGGAAUAUCAGUAAAUUGCAUUAAAAAAAUGUAUGAAAAGAUUUUGUUCAAUAAAAAUGUUUAUAUUUA